UGGGGAAUAUUGCACAAUGGGGGAAACCCUGAUGCAGCGACGCCGCGUGAGCGAAGAAGGCUUUCGAGUCGUAAAGCUCUGUCCUAUGAGAAGAUAAUGACGGUAUCAUAGGAGGAAGCCCUGGCUAAAUACGUGCCAGCAGCCGCGGUAAUACGUAUGGGGCGAGCGUUGUCCGGAAUUAUUGGGCGUAAAGGGUACGUAGGCGGUUUUUUAAGUCAGGUGUAAAAGGCAGUAGCUUAACUACUGUAAGCAUUUGAAACUGCAUAUCUUGAGAAGAGUAGAGGUAAGUGGAAUUUUUAGUGUAGCGGUGAAAUGCGUAGAUAUUAAAAAGAAUACCGGUGGCGAAGGCGACUUACUGGGCUCAUUCUGACGCUGAGGAACGAAAGCGUGGGUAGCAAACAGG
rnacentral:rRNA from 1 species